rnacentral:tRNA from 1 species
UCCCUGGUGAUCCAGUGGCUAAGACUCUGCAUUCUCAAUGCAGGGGGCCUAGGUUCAAUUCCUGGUCAAGGAA